AUGAACGCUGGCGGCGUGCCUCAUCCAUGCAAGUCGAGCGAACAGAUAAGGAGCUUGCUCCUUUGACGUUAGCGGCGGACGGGUGAGUAACACGUGGGUAACCUACCUAUAAGACUGGAAUAACUCCGGGAAACCGGGGCUAAUGCCGGAUAACAUUUAGAACCGCAUGGUUCUAAAGUGAAAGAUGGUUUUGCUAUCACUUAUAGAUGGACCCGCGCCGUAUUAGCUAGUUGGUAAGGUAACGGCUUACCAAGGCAACGAUACGUAGCCGACCUGAGAGGGUGAUCGGCCACACUGGAACUGAGACACGGUCCAGACUCCUACGGGAGGCAGCAGUAGGGAAUCUUCCGCAAUGGGCGAAAGCCUGACGGAGCAACGCCGCGUGAGUGAUGAAGGUCUUCGGAUCGUAAAACUCUGUUAUUAGGGAAGAACAAAUGUGUAAGUAACUGUGCACGUCUUGACGGUACCUAAUCAGAAAGCCACGGCUAACUACGUG
rnacentral:rRNA from 1 species